rfam:Gimesia maris DSM 8797 1101493009171, whole genome shotgun sequence.
GCCCCCGUAGCUCAGUUGGAUAGAGCAAUGCUUUCCUAAAGCAUAGGUCGCAGGUUCGAACCCUGCCGGGGGUA